UACGUAGGGUGCGAGCGUUAAUCGGAAUUACUGGGCGUAAAGCGUGCGCAGGCGGUUUUUGUAAGCCAGAUGUGAAAUCCCCCGGGCUUAACCUGGGAACUGCACUUGAAAACUACGAUGCUGGAGUAUGGGCAGAGGGAGGUGGAAUUCCACGUGUAGCGGUGAAAAUGCGUAGAGAUGUGGAGGAACACCGAUGGCGAAGGCAGCCUCCUGGCCAAUACGUGGACGC
rnacentral:rRNA from 1 species